UACGUAGGGUGCAAGCGUUUAAUCGGAAUACUGGGCGUAAAGCGUGCGCAGGCGGUUUUGUAAGUUUGUCGUGAAAGCCCCGGGCUCAACCUGGGAAUUGCGAUGAAGACUGCAAGGCUUGAAUCUGGCAGAGGGGGGUAGAAUUCCACGUGUAGCAGUGAAAUGCGUAGAGAUGUGGAGGAACACCGAUGGCGAAGGCAGCCCCCUGGGUCAAGAUUGACGCUCAUGCACGAAAGCGUGGGGAGCAAACAGG
rnacentral:rRNA from 1 species